GGCUGAGUAGCUCAGUGGUAAGAGCAGUUGCCCGGCAAGCGAAAGACCCGGGCUCGAUUCCCGAUUCAGCGA
rfam:Camponotus floridanus CamFlo_1.0_1.contig1471, whole genome shotgun sequence.